rnacentral:rRNA from 1 species
AGUGAACGCUGGCGGUAGGCCUAACACAUGCAAGUCGAACGGCAGCACAGUAAGAGCUUGCUCUUACGGGUGGCGAGUGGCGGACGGGUGAGGAAUACAUCGGAAUCUACUUUUUCGUGGGGGAUAACGUAGGGAAACUUACGCUAAUACCGCAUACGACCUACGGGUGAAAGCAGGGGAUCUUCGGACCUUGCGCGAUUGAAUGAGCCGAUGUCGGAUUAGCUAGUUGGCGGGGUAAAGGCCCACCAAGGCGACGAUCCGUAGCUGGUCUGAGAGGAUGAUCAGCCACACUGGAACUGAGACACGGUCCAGACUCCUACGGGAGGCAGCAGUGGGGAAUAUGGGACAAUGGGCGCAAGCCUGAUCCAGCCAUACCGCGUGGGUGAAGAAGGCCUUCGGGUUGUAAAGCCCUUUUGUUGGGAAAGAAAAGCAGCAGGUUAAGACCCCGCUGUUCGGACGGUACCCAAAGAAGAAGCACCGGCUAACUUCGU